AUCUAGCUGACGAAUCACAAAUAGGACGAAACGUGCGUCAAACUGGGU
rfam:Schistosoma margrebowiei strain Zambia genome assembly, scaffold: SMRZ_scaffold0002851